GACGAACGCUGGCGGCGUGCUUAACACAUGCAAGUCGAACGAAAAGACCCGGCGUUUGUUGCUUGCUCGAUUGGCGAAGAGGGGAGUGACACGUGUGUAACCUGCCCUUAACUGUCUGGUAACAUCAGGGAACUGCGGCGAAUACCGCGGAUAAUCUCCUGCUGCAUGUGGUUGGAUAGAGAGAGUCGGCGGUUGGGGAUGUACUCGCGGCUUAUCAGCUUGUUGGUCUGGUAGGGGCUGACCAGGGCUGUGACGGGUAGCCUGCCUGAGAGCGUGACCGGCGACAUGGGGACUGCGAGACGCAGCAGAAUGCUACGGGCGGCAGUAGUCGGGAACUUUGCACAACGGGGGGAAGUGUGAUGUAGAAAUGUCGCGUGCGGGAUGCCGGCUUUCGGGUUGUAAACCGCUUUCGAAUGUGCCGAAGCGUGAGUGACGGUAACGGGUCAAGAAGCCACGGCUAACUACGUG
rnacentral:rRNA from 1 species